rnacentral:rRNA from 1 species
AACGAACGCUGGCGGCAUGCCUAACACAUGCAAGUCGAACGAGACCUUCGGGUCUAGUUGCGCACGGGUGCGUCACGCGUGGGAACCUGCCCUUAGGUUCGGAAUACCUCCCCGAAAGGGGUGCUAAUACCGGAUAAUGUCUUCGGACCCAAGAUUUAUCGCCUUUGGAUGUGCCCGCGUUGGAUUAGCUAGUUGGUAGGGUAAAAGCCUACCAAGGCGACGCUCCAUAGCUGGUCUGAGAGGAUGAUCAGCCACACUGGGACUGAGACACGGCCCAGACUCUUACGCGAGGCAGGAGUGGGGAAUAUUGGACAACGGGCGAAAGCCUGAUCCAGCAAUGCCGCGUGAGUGAUGAAGUCCUGAGGGUUGUAAAGCUCGUUUACCCGGGAUGAUAAUGACAGUACCGGGAGAAUAAGCGCCGGCUAACUCCGUG